CCAAUCCCUUUGAAUUUCUAAGAAACUCGCUACUAAUAAGUCAAAAAAAUAGAACCAACUUCCCCCCAAAUGAAAAUUUGAUUAAAAAAUUCGAUAUUUUAAAACUUUUAUAUAGAAUAUAAACUAAAGAAACACCAAAAUUGAUUUAAUUUUAAAAAAAAUUGUUCCUUAACUCUCUCUCCCAAUUAUCUCUUUCCACAUUUUACAAAAAUAAUAACAAUAAUUAUCCACUACUCGAUCAGCUCGAGAACCAAUGCCUGUAUCUCAAUUGCCUUCUAUAUAAUUUGUUGGUUUCUUUUUUAUUUAUUUUUUCUAUAGAAUUAUUAUUAUUAUUAUUAUUAUUUUUAUUUUUUUGGAAUUCUUAUUCAAAAUGAGUUUAUUUGUAUUUUUAGUUGGCGGUGGAAUCGACGAUCAUGGAUAAUACCUCUUUACCGUAGCCGAUGCUUUCUUGGUCCCAGAUUCCUUUGCGACACCAUCAAGAAGCCCUUCUGUAAAUUUCUAGAAUCCAGUCUCUGAUUGGGCAAACAGGGAGAAGGUGGGUUAUGGGUGUGAUAUCUCAAUUGGAGAAUGGACACUUUUUACUUGAAAGCGUAGCUGCUUCAGUAGAGAUUUUCUAACAUGAUAUCCUUUACACAAUGUUUUCAUCAUUUAAAGAACUAUUUCACUGCUUUGAAAGAUUAGAUUUAGACUCAUAGAUAUACUUUUGACUUAUAUAUAUUUCUAAUUCAUGUUAAAAAUCCAUCUUAAUACAUUAAGGUAGAUAAAAAUAGAUCCCUGAUUUUGAUGGGACAGUGGCUUGUGAAUGCUUUCCAUUUCUUAGCUGAAAUAUGGAUUCUUAAAUGCUUAAAAUUGGGAAUUAACUAUGUUUCAAAUUGGAGAUAAUAGAUCUAAAAUGGACAUAAUUGAUCAUAAGUUUCUUUGACAAGCAGUAGAAGAUGACUACUGGAUUUUUUUCUGGAGAGCACCAUAGUUGUUGCAGAGGGCGAAAUGCAUGUAGAGCGUAUAUUUCAGAAGGUUAUUACCUGUGGAUUUCUUCCACUGGAGGACAGAGAGAAGUCACUCAAGGUGCUUGCUGGAUAUGGCUUUUUUGGUGGUUGUAUACUAACAAAAGAGUAGACUCUUAGACUUGCGGGUUUGGAAAAGAAAGCAUUUAAUGAUAUGUUGUCAUAUUCUCUGAUGUGUGGCUAGACAAUGAAGAGGUGAUUCAUUUCAGAUUCCUUCUAUCUUCCAGUAAUUUUUUUUCUCGGGAGUAGUCCUGCUGCCUGCGUAACUCAGAUGCUGUUCUUUCUAUAGAGAAGGCUUUCUUGGUGUUUUUUAGAAUGGACGAGGUGGUUCCUUGUUUGUGUGUUCAUGGGGAAUUUUUGUUCCCACCUGUGCAACCUUUAAUUUCACUCUUUUUCAAGUCUCAGUAAUCAACCUGGUUGUGUGGAUCACAAUUCGGCAAGCUUGGCCAAAUGAUCGGAAACCAUCCAUGGCCGAAAGAGCGACAGUUUCUGUUUGUCCCAUGACCUGAUGAUGCAGAUAUUUUUUUGGGGAUAGAACUAAGCAGAAGCAGAACUGCAGAAGGCAUUCAAGUACAGCGGAAUACCUGUUUCAAUCCUGGUUCCUUCUCAAGCGAUAAUACCUUUGUGGCAUAAGGAUCAGAAAGUGACUUGACACAGCUAAAAAGAUUUUUCUUAUUGUUCUUUGCCUGCUGUGACUGUCUUGACAGCAUAAGCUUCUAGAAUUAUUUCUUCACUAUAUUGUUUAGCAGGUUCAUGUCGUCUUGUGCAUAAAGCUAAUAAGGAUCUGGGGCUCACCUUAUUACUGAUGAUGGAAUUUCCAGGACCGUUGCUCUAAUGUUUGCUUGCAAGCUUGAAAAUGCAUUUGCGUUAACAUUA